UACGGAGGGUGCGAGCGUUGUCCGGAAUCACUGGGCGUAAAGGGCGCGUAGGCGGCCUGGUAAGUCACUUGUGAAAUCCCGGUGCUCAACGCCGGGGCCGCAGGUGAGACUGUCAGGCUAGAGCUUGGUAGAGGCGAGUGGAAUUCCCGGUGUAGCGGUGGAAUGCGUAGAUAUCGGGAAGAACACCGGUGGCGAAGGCGGCUCGCUGGGCCGAUGCUGACGCUGAGGCGCGAAAGCGUGGGGAGCAAACAGGAUUAGAAACCCCAGUAGUCC
rnacentral:rRNA from 1 species